rnacentral:rRNA from 1 species
CCUACGGGAGGCAGCAGUGAGGAAUAUUGGUCAAUGGCCGGAAGGCUGAACCAGCCAAGCCGCGUGAGGGAGGAAGGCGCAGAGCGUCGCAGACCUCAUUUGCCGGGGGACAAAAGGCCGGACUCGUCCGGUCCUGAGGGUACCCGGAGAAAAAGCAUCGGCUAACUCCGUGCCAGCAGCCGCGGUAAUACGGAGGAUGCGAGCGUUAUCCGGAUUCAUUGGGUUUAAAGGGUGCGCAGGCGGGCCAUUAAGCCGGCGGUAAAAUUGCGGGGCUUAACCCCGCCGAGCCGUCGGAACUGGGGGCCUUGAGAGCGGCUGAGGCAUGCGGAAUGCGCGGUGUAGCGGUGAAAUGCAUAGAUAUC